GACGAACGCUGGCGGCGUGCUUAAUACAUGCAAGUCGAACGCUGAGGCGCUGAGCUUGCUCGUCUUGCAAGUGUUGAACACGUGAGUAUAACGCGUGUGUCCCCUGCCUUGUAGCGGGGUAUCACUAGUGGAAACGGGCUAUAAUCCCAUAUAACAACGUGCUGCACGUUUGGGUUUGGUGAGAGUGGCAGUUUCGGCGGGUGGGGAUGGACUUGCGUUGUAUUAGCUGGUUGGUGGGGUAGUGGCUUACCAAGGCGUUGACGGGUAGCCGGCCUGAGAGGGUGACCGGCCACAUGGGGACUGAGAUACGGCCCAGACUCCUACGGGAGGCAGCAGUGGGGAAUAUUGCACAAUGGGCGGAAGCCUGAUGCAGCAACGCCGCGUGCGGGAUGACGGCCUUCGGGUUGUAAACCGCUUUCGCCGGUGACGAAGCGUGAGUGACGGUAAUGGGUAAAGAAGCACCGGCUAACUACGUG
rnacentral:rRNA from 1 species